GAAUACUACGUGUAGCAGUCCAUACUUUAGCCUGAUAGUCAUCUUUUAGACCUGUUGUCAUUUGCCUCGUAUGUAGAGCAAAAACUCCAAUUCUACUUUGCUGUCCCAACACUUGGUGAGCAUUGUAAAUGGGAAGACUCAUACAUUGACUAACAGAGUGUACGACCUAUAGGGGAAGAGAGAGAGGGAGAGACAGAGAGCGAGAGAGAGAGAGAGAGGGAAUAGAAGAGAGAGGGGGGGGGAAGUCACACAAACACAUGUGAUGAAUGAGCCAGUCCAGUCCAGUCUAACGGAGCAGAGAACAGAGGGGCAGAGACGAGAACGCUGACGCCACGGGGGGCCGGAGAACCACUUAGACUGGGAAUCCAAUAAUGAGUUCAUCGCACUGAACAUAGGAAGUCGUGGCCUGAAUGUGAUAUGGGACGGAGUGAGCCAGCAACUAACAGAAGCAGCUGUUCUACAAUAUUUCAUCAUCCAGUGGACUAACCAUCAGCCCAUCAUUUCUUCUUCAACCAGGACCUGGGGUCAACCAGAUCUCUAACUUAUACAGGAC
ensembl:lncRNA